GGCCUUUCGCCGGCGCGCCACCUCGCCUAUAUUCGAAGAGCCGGGGCAACCCGGCUAUGGCGAUAAACGGCUAUCGUAAUAAACCUAUCGGACCCGGGGGCAGUACCCGGCGCCUCCACCAGCAGGGCUCCUGCGGGUGCCCUGCUGAUGGGGGCGAAACAGGAUCGACGAGGGUGUAAAGGGUGGACUUUCGCUCGGCAUGGUUCCGCCGUUAUCGGGCCGUCUCAAUAGUUGCCAACGACAACUAUGCUCCGGUGGCCGUUGCCGCGUAAUGCGGUGAUGGUACCGAUCCAAAGCCCUUGCGGGUAGCACUGUAAGGCGGGGUUCGGAGGCACCUGGCAACAGAAGCCUCCACU
rnacentral:tmRNA from 2 species